AACAAGAGUCAUCUGGAAUGGAUUGGCAAUAGUCAGCUGUGGAGUUGUUGUUGGGGACAAAGAACAGAAAGUUUCAGUUCAGUUCAGUUCAGUUCA
rnacentral:ribozyme from 1 species